rnacentral:rRNA from 1 species
UGCAAGUCGGACGGGAUUGGAGAGCUUGCUUUCCAUGAGAGUGGCGCACGGGUGCGUAACGCGUGAGCAACCUACCCUUGUCAGGGGGAUAGCCCGGAGAAAUCCGGAUUAAGACCGCAUAACAUUGUGAUAUGGCAUCAUAUUAUAAUCAAAUAUUUAUAGGACAAGGAUGGGCUCGCGUGACAUUAGCUAGUUGGUAAGGUAACGGCUUACCAAGGCAAUGAUGUCUAGGGGCUCUGAGAGGAGAAUCCCCCACACUGGUACUGAGACACGGACCAGACUCCUACGGGAGGCAGCAGUAAGGAAUAUUGGUCAAUGGGCGGAAGCCUGAACCAGCCAUGCCGCGUGCAGGAAGACUGCCCUAUGGGUUGUAAACUGCUUUUGCCAGGGAAUAAAUGUACCGAUGUAUCGGUAUUUGAAUGUACUUGGAGAAUAAGGAUCGGCUAACUCCGUGCCAGCAGCCGCGGUAAUACGGAGGAUCCAAGCGUUAUCCGGAAUUAUUGGGUUUAAAGGGUGCGUAGGCGGCAUGCUAAGUCAGGGGUGAAAGACGGUGGCUCAACCAUCGCAGUGCCUUUGAUACUGGUGUGCUUGAAUGUACAUGAGGUAGGCGGAAUGAGACAAGUAGCGGUGAAAUGCAUAGAUAUGUCUC